rnacentral:sRNA from 1 species
CGGCCAGCCGCGUCGAAUCCCAAGGUCAGUAGGGCCGCGGGAGCCGGGGACCCACCUCGUGGGGUGAAUCCGCCGCGAACGUGCGGCGGUAGGGCAACUCCACCGCCCGAACCCGUCAGCUAACCCGGUAGACGAGAUGGAGAGGAGAU